rnacentral:rRNA from 1 species
GACGUAGGGCGCGAGCGUUGUCCGGAUUUAUUGGGCGUAAAGAGCUCGUAGGCGGCUUGUUGCGUCGGCUGUGAAAUCCCGUGGCUUAACUGCGGGCUUGCAGCUGAUACGGGCGGGCUGGAGUUCGGUAGGGGAGACUGGAAUUCCUGGUGUAGCGGUGAAAUGCGCAGAUAUCAGGAGGAACACCGGUGGCGAAGGCGGGUCUCUGGGGCCCGAUACUGACGCUGAGGAGCGAAAGCGUGGGGAGCAAACAGG